AAGGGAGAGUAACGGGUGGUUACUUACCCUCAGGACCGGAAUAGUGUCGGGAAACUGACAGUAAUGCCGGAUAAUAUCUUUGGAUCAAAGGUGUGAUUCCGCCUGGGGAUAGGACCGCUUUCUAUUAGCUUGUUGGCGGGGUAAUGGCCCACCAAGGCUGAGAUGGAUACCGGGUGUGAGAGCAUGGCCCGGCUCACUGGGACUGAGACACUGCCCAGACACCUACGGGUGGCUGCAGUCGAGAAUCUUCGGCAAUGGGCGAAAGCCUGACCGAGCGACGCCGCGUGCGGGAUGAAGGCCUUCGGGUUGUAAACCGCUGUCAGUUGGGAGGAAGGUGCUGUGAAGAGCAGCAUUUGACCGAUCUUCAGAGGAAGGACGGGCUAAGUUCGUGCCAGCAGCCGCGGUAAGACGAACCGUCCGAACGUUAUUCGGUAUCACUGGGCUUAAAGAGUUCGUAGGCGGCCUAGCAGGUGAGGUGUGAAAUCCAACGGCUCAACCGUUGAAUUGCGCUUCAAACCACUAGGCUCGAGGAUGGCAGGGGUGUUGGGAACAGAUGGU
rnacentral:rRNA from 1 species